rnacentral:lncRNA from 1 species
AAUAGUCUUCUAAAUUUAUAGAAGACGAUAGAGGGGUGAGAUGGAUUCAAAAAGAGGGUUCGGAUUGAAGUUAAUCUAUAUUGAAGAGGAGUAAGGUGUAUUUUUCUCUUGAUUAGUGGAUCUUAUUUCACCUACAUAUUUUUUAUUUAGUUGUUUUUUUCUUUUUUGCGAUAGUGUCAACAAUAACCUUUUCCUAAAGAGACGGAUUUAUCAUAAAAAUUCGAUUUGAUAUUUUCGUUGCGAAAUUCUAACUACUGGUACCGGAACGACUACCGAAUCAACAACAGUCGAUAUCAGAGCGAAUUGCCAAUUAAUUCUCAAAUUUUGGUAUCAAAACGAAUAUUAGAUUUCCAAG